rnacentral:rRNA from 1 species
AAUGGCCUAACGGUUGAACCAGCAACUUGGAUGAAUGGAAGUGAGAGCUACUUAUAUAAAAUUUUAAUAUAAGAUGGAGAAUUCCAAUAAAGUUCUGAUAGGUGUUGAUAAUGACAUUACCUAUAAAAGUCUUGACCAAAUCAUGUGCCAGCAGUCGCGGCAACACAUGAAAGACGAGUGUUAUUCAUCUUUAUUUGGUUUAAAGGGUACCUAGACGGUUGAAUUAUUCCAAAAAGGGAAACUAUUGCAACUAGAGUUUAAUAAGAGAAGAACAGAACGAGUAGAGUAGAGAUAAAAUUUGAUGAUACACUCAGUAGACUGGUAACGGCGCAAGCGAACUUUUAUGUAAAAACUGACGUUGAGGGACGAAGGCUACGACUAACGAACAGGAUUAGAGACCCAGGUACUGUGUGCAGACAAUGAUGAAUGUCAUAUGUAAGAUAUUAAAUAUUUUGUAUAUAAAUGAAAGUGUAAACAUUCCACCUUAAGAGUAAAGUGGCAACGCAGGAACUGAAAUCAUUAGACCGUUUCUGAGACCAGUAGUGAAGUAUGUUUAUUUAAUUUGUUGACCCACAAAAAACCUUACCCGAAAACAAUAUGAAUAUAUAUAUUUAAUAUAUAGUACUAGCGUUGCACGGCUGUCUUCAGUUGAUGUAGUGAUAUUAUGGUUAGUUCCAUGAAAUCGACGUAAACCCUCACUUCAUUUGUUAUGAAGUGGUUUCGCAUUUUGAUAAUAGAAACUUAAUAAAAGGGACCAAGACAAGUCAUCAUGGCCUAAAUUAAAACUGGGGGCUAUAGACGUGCCACAGACACCCUGACAAAAAGAUGCAAAAUUGUGAAAUUAAGCUAAUCUAUAAAAUGGGUGGGUUAU